UACGUAGGGGGCAAGCGUUGUCCGGAAUUAUUGGGCGUAAAGCGCGCGCAGGCGGUGGAUUAAGUUUGGUGUUUAAUCCCGGGGCUCAACCUCGGUACGCACUGAAAACUGGUUCACUUGAGUGCAGGAGAGGAGAGUGGAAUUCCACGUGUAGCGGUGAAAUGCGUAGAGAUCGGGAGGAACACCAGUGGCGAAGGCGGCUAUCUGGAAGGUCACUGACGCUGAGGCUCGAAAGCUGGGGGAGCAAACAGG
rnacentral:rRNA from 1 species